rnacentral:rRNA from 2 species
UUCGAACGAGUUCUGAUUAUUGAAAGGUGCUUGCAUCUUGAUUUAAUUUUGAACGAGUGGCGGACGGGUGAGUAACACGUGGGUAACCUGCCCUUAAGUGGGGGAUAACAUUUGGAAACAGAUGCUAAUACCGCAUAAAUCCAAGAACCGCAUGGUUCUUGGCUGAAAGAUGGCGUAAGCUAUCGCUUUUGGAUGGACCCGCGGCGUAUUAGCUAGUUGGUGAGGUAACGGCUCACCAAGGCAAUGAUACGUAGCCGAACUGAGAGGUUGAUCGGCCACAUUGGGACUGAGACACGGCCCAAACUCCUACGGGAGGCAGCAGUAGGGAAUCUUCCACAAUGGACGCAAGUCUGAUGGAGCAACGCCGCGUGAGUGAAGAAGGCUUUCGGGUCGUAAAACUCUGUUGUUGGAGAAGAAUGGUCGGCAGAGUAACUGUUGUCGGCGUGACGGUAUCCAACCAGAAAGCCACGGCUAACUACGUGCCAGCAGCCGCGGUAAUACGUAGGUGGCAAGCGUUAUCCGGAUUUAUUGGGCGUAAAGCGAGCGCAGGCGGUUUUUUAAGUCUGAUGUGAAAGCCCUCGGCUUAACCGAGGAAGUGCAUCGGAAACUGGGAAACUUGAGUGCAGAAGAGGACAGUGGAACUCCAUGUGUAGCGGUGAAAUGCGUAGAUAUAUGGAAGAACACCACUGGCGAAGGAAGCUGUCUGGUCUGUAACUGACGCUGACGCUAGGGAGCAUGGC